GACGAACGCUGGCGGCGUGCUUAACACAUGCAAGUCGAACGGAAAGGCCCUGCUUUUGUGGGGUGCUCGAGUGGCGAACGGGUGAGUAACACGUGAGUAACCUGCCCUUGACUUUGGGAUAACUUCAGGAAACUGGGGCUAAUACCGGAUAGGAGCUCCUGCUGCAUGGUGGGGGUUGGAAAGUUUCGGCGGUUGGGGAUGGACUCGCGGCUUAUCAGCUUGUUGGUGGGGUAGUUGCUUACCAAGGCUUUGACGGGUAGCCGGCCUGAGAGGGUGACCGGCCACAUUGGGACUGAGAUACGGCCCAGACUCCUACGGGAGGCAGCAGUGGGGAAUAUUGCACAAUGGGCUGAAGCCUGAUGCAGCAACGCCGCGUGCGGGAUGACGGCCUUCGGGUUGUAAACCGCUUUCGCCUGUGACGAAGCGUGAGUGACGGUAAUGGGUAAAGAAGCACCGGCUAACUACGUG
rnacentral:rRNA from 1 species